CCUACGGGAGGCUGCAGUGAGGAAUAUUGGUCAAUGGACGAGAGUCUGAACCAGCCAAGUAGCGUGAAGGAUGACUGCCCUAUGGGUUGUAAACUUCUUUUAUAUGGGAAUAAAAUGUUCCACGUGUGGGAUUUUGUAUGUACCAUAUGAAUAAGGAUCGGCUAACUCCGUGCCAGCAGCCGCGGUAAUACGGAGGAACCGAGCGUUAUCCGGAUUUAUUGGGUUUAAAGGGAGCGUAGGUGGAUUGUUAAGUCAGUUGUGAAAGUUUGCGGCUCAACCGUAAAAUUGCAGUUGAAACUGGCAGUCGUGAGUACAGUAGAGGUAGGCGGAAUUCGUGGUGUAGCGGUGAAAUGCUUAGAUAUCACGAAGAACUCCGAUUGCGAAGGCAGCUCACUGGACUGCAACUGACACUGAGGCUCGAAAGUGUGGGUAUCAAACAGGAUUAGAUACCCUGGUAGUC
rnacentral:rRNA from 1 species